GGCAUUCAUUUUUGCAGUUGUUUCCCUUGCGGCGGAAGUAGGUGGCGCCUUUACCGAUGGGGUCCUAGCUCAGAAUAGAUUCCAUUAGCAAAGCAAACGAAUACGUAAACAUUUCAUACAGUUAAAGUAUUGUAGCAUGCCCUCGUCAUGUUGUUGUGUGCCUGGGUGCGCAAACAGGGGAGGACAUCGUUUUCCAAAAGACGAUGCCCUUCGGAAGCUCUGGAUUAUUGCUAUUAAGCGUGAUCAGAAGCCAGGAAAGUUGUGGCAACCUUCACCUUCCAGUGUUGUGUGCUUUCAACAUUUCGAAAGUACCGACUAUAUCAAGGAAACAACUCACGGUAACAUCGCAGUUGUUUUAAAUCAUGGAUGUCCAAGGUACGAGUCUACUACAAGAUGGGACAAACUUUGCAACACCCUUCAACAGCUCACAAGGAAACCAGGGAGUUAAUUCAUUAAUUCUAUUUUUACAUUUAAUAAGAUGAAAUGAUGUCCAACUACUAUUUGAGUAUCAGUGUGCGAAACUUGCUUUUGAAGAAUCUACCACAAUUUCAAAUUUUAUAGGCCCAACUGAUUAUUAUAGGCUAACAUAGAAGUAUCAAGUUCUAAUUGUACUCAUUAUUUGUAUUCGCUUUUGUUUUGCAACAGACUUUAUCACUUAAUAUUGAAUAUGCAUAGGUCAUUUACAAUACUGUUUAUUUCUUGGUGAUAAUAUCUAGUGUCUAAUUUGUGC